AUUGAACGCUGGCGGCAGGCCUAACACAUGCAAGUCGAGCGGAUGACGGGAGCUUGCUCCUUGAUUCAGCGGCGGACGGGUGAGUAAUGCCCAGGAAUCUGCCUGGUAGUGGGGGACAACGUUUCGAAAGGAACGCUAAUACCGCAUACGUCCUACGGGAGAAAGCAGGGGACCUUCGGGCCUUGCGCUCUCAGAUGAGCCUAGGUCGGAUUAGCUAGUUGGUGGGGUAAUGGCUCACCAAGGCGACGAUCCGUAACUGGUCUGAGAGGAUGAUCAGUCACACUGGAACUGAGACACGGUCCAGACUCCUACGGGAGGCAGCAGUGGGGAAUAUUGGACAAUGGGCGAAAGCCUGAUCCAGCCAUGCCGCGUGUGUGAAGAAGGUCUUCGGAUUGUAAAGCACUUUAAGUUGGGAGGAAGGGCAGUAAGCUAAUACCUUGCUGUUUUGACGUUACCGACAGAAUAAGCACCGGCUAACUCUGUGCCAGCCGCCGCAGUAACAC
rnacentral:rRNA from 1 species